UACGUAGGGACCGAGCGUUGUCCGGAAUCAUUGGGCGUAAAGAGCGUGUAGGCGGCCAACUAAGUCCUGCGUGAAAUCUCGGGGCUCAACCCCGAGCGGUCGUGGGAAACUGGUUGGCUAGAGUGCGGGAGAGGAGAGUGGAAUUCCUGGUGAGCGGUGAAAUGCGCAGAUAUCAGGAGGAACACCCGUGGCUAAGGCGGCUCUCUAGUACGGUACUGACGCUGAGACGCGAAAGCGUGGGGAGCGAACAGG
rnacentral:rRNA from 1 species